rnacentral:rRNA from 1 species
CUGGCGUCAGGAUGAACGCUAGCGACAGGCCUAACACAUGCAAGUCGAGGGGCAGCGCGGGGUAGCAAUACUCUGGCGGCGACCGGCGCACGGGUGCGUAACAGGUGUGCAAUCUGUCCAUAGUCGGGGGAUAGCCCAAGCGAAAGCUGAAUUAACACUCCAUGUGAAUCGAAGCCGCAUGACUUUGAUUUGAAACGCAAGGACUAUGGGUGAGCACGCUUCUAAUUAGCUAGUUGGUGGGGUAACGGCUCACCAAGGCGACGAUCAGUAGGGGUUCUGAGAGGAAGGUCCCCCACAUUGGAACUGAGACACGGUCCAAACUCCUACGGGAGGCAGCAGUGAGGAAUAUUGGUCAAUGGGCGAGAGCCUGAACCAGCCAAGUCGCGUAGAAGGAUGAAGGUUCUAUGGAUUGUAAACUUCUUUUGUCCGAGGGUAAAAAAGGCCACGUGUGGCUUCUUGCAAGUAUCGGACGAAUAAGCAUCGGCUAACUCCGUGCCAGCCGCAGC